rfam:Echinococcus multilocularis genomic scaffold, pathogen_EMT_contig_0149
GAGUCCGUGGCGCAACGGUAGCGCGUCUGACUUCAGAUCAGAGGGUUGCGUGCUCGAAUAACGUCGGGGUAA